GACGAACGCUGGCGGCGUGCCUAAUACAUGCAAGUAGAACGCUGAAGGAGGAGCUUGCUCUUCUGGAUGAGUUGCGAACGGGUGAGUAACGCGUAGGUAACCUGCCUUGUAGCGGGGGAUAACUAUUGGAAACGAUAGCUAAUACCGCAUAAUAGUAGAUGUUGCAUGAUAUUUACUUAAAAGGUGCAAUUGCACCACUACCAGAUGGACCUGCGUUGUAUUAGCUAGUUGGUGGGGUAACGGCUCACCAAGGCGACGAUACAUAGCCGACCUGAGAGGGUGGUCGGCCACACUGGGACUGAGACACGGCCCAGACUCCUACGGGGAGCAGCAGUAGGGAAUCUUCGGCAAUGGACGAAAGGCUGAACGAGCAACGCCGCGUGAGGGAAGAAGGGUUUCGGAUCGUAAAGCUCUGUUGUAAGAGAAGAACGAGUGUGAGAGUGGAAAGUUCACACUGUGACGGUAUCUUACCAGAAAGGGACGGCUAACUACGUG
rnacentral:rRNA from 1 species